CCCUAGCAGAAAACCCUAACUCCCUCGAUCCCUCUCAACCUCUGUAGCGCUGAAUCUCAGCGGAAGCUCUUCCUUCUUCUUCUCUGCCAUCGACGCCGCCGGACAGCACCAUCGCGGCGGCGCGGCUCUCUUCUCUUCCUCUCUCUUUCUCGUAGCUCGUAGCGCUUCUCUUUCUCCCUCAGCCUCGACAGCUCCACACACCACCUCUCCAGCAGCCGUCACCUCCACGAACCAACAGCCACUGUCUUCUUCGACGAACCGCAGUAGCACGCACCUGACGCAGUCGAAGCAACCGCCGUUCAUCGUCCGUCUCUCGUUCGUCGUUGAUCUGUCUGGUCUUUGGUUCGUCGUCGCCGCCGUCUCACCAUCCUGCACCUCCGUCGUCCUCUGCAAUGGAGCCUAAGUCUCAGAAAAGGAGAAAGUGAAAGAGGAAGAACUUGUGGAAUUGGUGCACCACAUGAACAUUUUUGGAAUUAGUUUGAUUGUAUUUUUUAUUCAGUUUGGUUCUAUUUCUUGACUUAGUUUGGAAUUGCCCCGAAUUGGUGCACCAUUUUUGCAAAAUUUUUGGAAUUAGUUUGGUUGUAUUUCUUUACUUUCUUGAUGUUCUGUUUCCCCUGUUUUUGCAACAAAAUUGCUAAUGAUUUUAAUUUGUGCUUCUGCUAAUUUGUUACUGAUUUAUGAGUCAAGUUGAUCAUUGUUCCAUCUGCAUCUAUUGAUUUUGCGAAAUUGUUAAUUA